GAUGAACGCUGACAGAAUGCUUAACACAUGCAAGUCUUUGGCGAAGCUGUGCUUGCACAGCCUAGCCAAGGCGGACGGGUGAGUAACGCGUAAGGGACUUGCCCUGCAGUCAGGGAUAACAGACGGAAACGACUGAUAAGACCUGGUAAAGUCAGGCGGACUCAUGUCCAGCCUGAUGAAAAGGAAUGCUGCAGGAGAGCCUUGCGUCCUAUUAGCUUGUUGGUGGGGUAACGGCCCACCAAGGCGAUGAUAGGUAGCCGGCCUGAGAGGGUGGACGGCCACAAGGGGACUGAGAUACGGCCCUUACUCCUACGGGAGGCGCAGUGGGGAAUAUUGGACAAUGGGGGCAACCCUGAUCCAGCAAUUCUGUGUGCACGAUGAAGGUCUUCGGAUUGUAAAGUGCUUUCAGCAGGGAAGAAAAAAAUGACGGUACCUGCAGAAGAAGCGCGG
rnacentral:rRNA from 1 species